GAGAUAGUUGAUUCUACUAUAGAAAUUAACUAUAAAUUGUUAUUUACAUGUAAAUCUUUGUGUGUUAAAAAUUUAUUUCUUAAGGAUUAAAUUUAUUUUUAUUUGCAGUUUAAAGUUUUAAUUUUUAAAGUAAUUUAGAUUUAUGCAAGUUUUAUAGGACUAUAAAAAGGUGUGCCAGCAUAUGCGGUUAUACACUUUAGUUCAAGUUAAUUAUAUUGAUUAUAAUUAAAUUUAAUUAUUUUAAGGAAUUAUUAUUUACUUAUUAGGUGAAAUUAUUAAGUAUUAUUAUUUUCUUUGGUUAUUUGAUUAAUUGAAAAAUCAGAUUUUAGACUAGGAUUAGAUACCCUAUUAUUUUGAUCGUUAUAAUUUUAUCAUGUGAUUAAAAGUUAUGUUCUUAAAAUUAAAAGAAUUUGGCGGUAAUUUAAUCUUUUCAGAGGAACCUGUAUUUUAAUUGAUAAUCCACGUUGGAUUUUACUUUAAUUCUUAUUUGUAUAUCUCUGUCAUUGAAUGUUCUAUUAGGUUAAUUUUCUUUUAUUAUUUAAUAAUAAAAUAUGUCAAGUCAAGGUGCAGUUAUAUUAAAGUUUUUAUGGGUUACAUUUAAAGUUUAUUCAUUAAAAAAUUUUUUGAAAUGAAAAUUGUAAAAAGGAUUUGAAAGUAAACUUUUUUUUCUUAAAAAGUUGAUUUUGGCUCUAAAUUAUGUACAUAUUGCCCGUCACUCUCACCUUUAAAGUGAGAUAAGUCGUAACAAAGUAAUUCUACUGGAAAGUGGAAUUUAAAUUUU
rnacentral:ncRNA from 1 species